rfam:Mycoplasma pulmonis TAB CTIP, complete genome
GGGGAUGUAAUGGUUUCGACAGGCAUUUAUAACCUUAUAAUGCAGUAGUUUGGCAGACUAUAAUGCUACUAGGCGUUUCAAUAAACGGAACAAAAAAACAAGAAAAUGACUAUCAAGAUUUAAUGAUUAGUCAAAAUCUAAACCAAAAUCUAGCUUUUGCUAGCGUUUAGCAGCUAGUUGCUCCAUUAUAUGUUCUGGAUAAUGGAAGCAUGCCUAAGAACUUAGUGAAGUUGCUCUAGCGUCAAUUUCAUGAAAUUUAGCUAGUUGAUUUAAUAGAAUUUUGUUCAAUUUUUUCUAUUAAAUCAACAAUUAAAAAUUGGAAUAAACUGUAGAUUUAUAAGCAUUGUGAAUGUGUGGACCCGGGUUCGACUCCCGGCAUUUCCACCA